rnacentral:rRNA from 1 species
AAGAGACAGCAGCAGCCGCGGUAAUACGGAGGGUGCAAGCGUUAAUCGGAAUUACUGGGCGUAAAGCGCACGCAGGCGGUUUGUUAAGUCAGAUGUGAAAUCCCCGAGCUUAACUUGGGAACUGCAUUUGAAACUGGCAAGCUAGAGUCUUGUAGAGGGGGGUAGAAUUCCAGGUGUAGCGGUGAUAUGCGUAGAGAUCUGGAGGAAUACCGGUGGCGAAGGCGGCCCCCUGGACAAAGACUGACGCUCAGGUGCGAAAGCGUGGGGAGCAAACAGGAUUAGAUACCCCAGUAGUCCCUGUCUCUUAUAC